GUUAAUGUUAUUGUCGUUGUUGUUUGAGUGUGCAGAGUUAAUUUCGUAUAGUUCUUUUAAGCUUCUAAAGCAUACAGGUGGUUCAUUUUUGUGAAUUGUAACAUAUACAAGGCCACUGGCGGUAAAAGCAGAGAAUAGAUGGUGUUUUCUUUUCAUUUCAAUUGCAUUGCGAAGAAGUUCUCGAUUUCGGUGGUUAAGCUUUCAUGUAUAUAAAUGUGUCCGCUUGGAAAUUCGAAUCAAUUUCAUGUAAGCUCAGGUUUCGAGAAUUUGACUUACGAUAUUCAGAGAGUGCUUUUAUCGUGUUUAUUUUGUCGUUUGCGCUAAGAAAUUUAAUAAUUAUAAUUGAAUUUGUCUGCGGCUUACAUCGAAAAAUACCGGAGAUUUGAGGUGGUUGGAAAUCUAAGCAGUGACAUAUUAGAUUAAAUAUAUUUUUUAGUUGUUCGUUUGUUUUAGUAUCAUCGUCGGAUGCUGAAGCAAGCGCGCAGUGUUCUAUUUUCAUGUUGGUUUUGUUUAUAUUCUCUCGAAUCUUAUCUAUUUCAGUGCAACGUUUCUCUAUUUGUGAUACCUUUUCUUCUAAUUGUGUCAAAUCGCGAGUUAUUCUGUCCAUUUUGUUGGACACACAGUACACAUAAAAAGUUUGAGCAGAGAAAUUGAAAGGAGAUACAUCUACAAGCUUUUUUGACACAUUAUUAAGAGAAUCAUCAGUGGCACCACAAGAAGGAGAAGCAGCAAUAUCGGGAACGCGAGCAACAGGAACAAAAGCGGCAGCAUCAACAACAAGCACAUUUGGAGCGGGAGAAGAGAAAACAGUGGUGACAGCAUCAGUGGUCGACGAAUUUUUGGUGGAUGGAGUUUUUUUGGAAGAAGAAUUCUCAUUUUUUCUGUUCAUUUUAUUUAAAAGAGAUGGUGAGUUUUUUGAAUAGUUCGUGGGAGUUGUAUUCAUUCUAGGGCUUGAAGUUGACAGUUGUUUUCUUGAUCGUGUAAAAAGAGGAGAGAAGAGAGUUAAAGAGCAAAAAGUUUAUUUUAUAUAUUAGUAUUAAGUAUGUAAUGUUAUUAUUUCUUUUCUUCUCUAUGAUCACUUAAAAACAACGCUUUGAACCAAAAUUAUUGUGCCAAUUUAUUAUGCAAACAAAAAUAAUUAA